GCAUCGAAAGCUCAGUGGCAGAGCGCUAAGGCGUUGACCCAUGCGCCCGGGUUCGAGCCUCGAUCGAUGCA